GAGCACAGUGGUACAUGCCUACAAUCCCAGCACUCCAGAGCCUGAGGCAGGAGGAUCAUGAAUUCAAGACCAGUAUGAGUUACAAAGAAAAUUCAGGCCCCCAGACCUUAGCAGGCCCCAAGCCAUGAUGGAGGUACCACUCACACCUUGGAACCCAGAACAUAGGCAGCAAUACCAGCAAAAAGGAGAUGAAAGACAUAAUUCAUCAAAGUCCUAAAUGGAGUGGCCUUGCUUUUUGGCUUCUGUAGUUCUGCUUCUAGCUGUCUUUGCUAACUGAGGUGUGUCAACCCAAGAUGUGGUUGAAAGUCCACCCUGAGGAAGGCUCUGGACUGCACUCAGGUCUGGAACAGUGAGUGUAGACACUAGCUGAUUAAUAAAAUCUUUUUAUUGAUACAUCA